UAACUGUGGAAAUUAAAGCCAUGGCGCCAGAUGAUCUGACCUAGGGGAAGUGUGUAGAUUAAAAAUAAAAGUGGACCAAGGACAGAUCCUUGAGGCACUCCACGGGAAAAGACAAAUGGGACAGAAGUGGCAUCCUUCCUCAGAAAUGGCAGACGCUGUCAAAAGCUGAACUCAGGUCCAAAAAGGACCAGAAGGCUGAGGACACCAGAAUCAGAGGCGAGGAGGAUGUCAUUCACCACUUUCACAAGAGCAGUCUCUGUACUGUGGAGGGGGCGAAAAUUGAAUUUACAUACUACUACAGGCUUCUACAGCAGCGCAAGGGGAAAAUGUGAGAACCAGAUGUGAAGCCUUGACUGCAGAUGUGCUCGCUUAGAGGCCAAGAAAAAGCUAAUCUCAGGACCUCGGAAACGCACACUCACAAACCCUCACGAACAGACGCCGAGGCAAGGAGCAUCUCUGAGGCAAUACUUCAUUUUGAAUAAUUCAUUUAGGAAAUGAUAAUAGCACUGCACUGCUGUCUAAUAAAGAGCGUCAGUCUCUCGUUAAAACCAGAUUCUGCUCACCACAUUUUAGCCGCUUCCAGGAAUCAUAGGAAUGAGAGAUACUGUGUGCUCCUUUAUUUACUUAGCAGAUGAUAACCUCUUACCACACACUCUCUCAACAGAGUUUAAAACAUGCUCUCUUCUCUCCCGCAAACAGCCUAAUGGGUUUAAAUGCUCUCAAAUAUUAAUGCCUGUCCUUCAGACGCUACAAGCCAAGCCCAUUAUUAUAACAAGCAGUGGCCUGGCAGACUGGGACGAUGCAGACAGGGAACUCACUGUUAAUGAAAUGAAUGCGAACGGUAAAGUUACGAAGGGUGUGUAGCUCUGGCGUUUUUCCGAUAGCUGUAUAGCUGUGAAUUUUAAAUCCUGUUUGUUUCUAAUGUCAACAUAGUUUAUGGGAGUUUUGCCCUCUCGGUGGAGAGAGAUGAUCUUGUUUUAUAAUUGUUUAAAAGAGAAUCAAACACGUUUUAAUUAUUAUUACUAUUGUGGAUAGAAAAUAAUUGCUAUAUAUUUGAUUUUACACCAGAAAUGUUUACCCUCCUCGCACUGUAUCCUUUAUAUGACUUGUCAGAGUCUGUAAAAUUUGUUGUUGUCAUGACAAUCCAUGUAUGUCUUCCUUUGUUUCAGUUAUUGAAACAAUAAUUCAAUUAUUCAUCAGGCAAAAGCAAAAUCAGAUUAUAGCUCCCGUAAAAUUUCUGGAAUGACUGAUUGUGAUUGGUAAAUUGUGCUAUUUUGUGGUCAAA